GACGAACGCUGGCGGCGUGCCUAAUACAUGCAAGUAGAACGCUGAAGAGAGGAGCUUGCUCUUCUUGGAUGAGUUGCGGACGGGUGAGUAACGCGUAGGUAACCUGCCUUGUAGCGGGGGAUAACUAUUGGAAACGAUAGCUAAUACCGCAUAACAAUGGAUGACACAUGUCAUUUAUUUGAAAGGGGCAAUUGCUCCACUACAAGAUGGACCUGCGUUGUAUUAGCUAGUAGGUGAGGUAAUGGCUCACCUAGGCGACGAUACAUAGCCGACCUGAGAGGGUGAUCGGCCACACUGGGACUGAGACACGGCCCAGACUCCUACGGGAGGCAGCAGUAGGGAAUCUUCGGCAAUGGGGGCAACCCUGACCGAGCAACGCCGCGUGAGUGAAGAAGGGUUUCGGAUCGUAAAGCUCUGUUGUAAGUCAAGAACGGGUGUGAGAGUGGAAAGUUCACACUGUGACGGUAGCUUACCAGAAAGGGACGGCUAACUACGUG
rnacentral:rRNA from 1 species